AGAAGUGGCUGAGAGGCUUAAGGCACCCGAUUGAAAAUCGGGCGAGCUCCUGAAUAAGGGGCUCCGAGGGUUCGAAUCCCUUCUUCU
rnacentral:tRNA from 1 species